GCCGGUCUCCGGCCGAGGGAAGCCCGGUAGAGGGGGAGUGAGCUCAGCCGACCGAGCAAGGGGUGCUGCUGCAAGGGGAAGCCGGCAAUGACAGCGGCGGCGGCCGGGGCGAUCCCUCGGCGGGGGCCCCCCAUGUACUCGCAGAAAAACCUCAUGUCAAAGAAAAAAGACGACUUUGAAGAUAUCUUGGAAGAGAGGCGGCAGUCCAGUGACCUCAGAUAUGCAAUGAAAUGUUAUACUCCUGUUGUUUAUAAGGAACUUUCUCCAUGCAAGCCAAGUGCCAUUAAAACAAUUGUUUUACAGUCUGAACAAGUUCAGUAUGUCAUCAGACAGUUAUCAAAGGAGACAGGUGAAUCACUUGACAUUAUACAAGAGGAAGCAGCAGAAAUUCUGGAUGAGAUGGGGCACAGCAUGCAUAUGGGAGCUGUACGGUUUUUUGCUUUCACACUGAGCAAGAUAUUUAAAUGCCUUUUCAGAAGUAUUUGUGUGAAUGAAGAUGGCAUGCAGAAAUUACAACAGGCAAUACAAGAGCAUCCAGUUGUUCUGCUCCCCAGUCAUCGAAGCUACAUAGACUUUCUCUUAUUAUCUUAUAUCCUAUACACAUACGAUUUGGCUUUGCCUGUCAUUGCUGCAGGAAUAGAUUUCCUGGGAAUGAAAAUUGUGGGUGAACUGCUACGUAAAUCAGGUGCCUUUUUUAUGCGACGUUCAUUUGGUGGAAACAAACUCUAUUGGGCCGUGUUUGCUGAAUAUGUAAAAACUGUGUUAAAGAAUGGAUAUGCCCCUGUUGAGUUUUAUCUUGAAGGGACAAGAAGCCGGACUGCAAAGACUUUGACUCCAAAAUUUGGUCUCCUCAACAUUGUGAUGGAUCCUUUCCUUAAAAGAGAGGUGUUUGACAUUUAUCUUGUCCCAAUCAGUAUCAGCUAUGAUAGAGUACUAGAAGAAUCUCUUUAUGCACAUGAACUUUUAGGAGUCCCUAAACCAAAAGAAUCUACCUCGGUACUCUUAAAAGCCAGGAAAAUUCUGAGUGAAGAUUUUGGAAGCAUUCACUUGUAUUUUGGUCAGCCUUUAUCGCUCAGAACAUUGGCAUCUGGGAGAAUCAAUAGAUGUCCAUUCAAUCUGAUUCCAAGGCAUAUUCCUCAAAAGCCAUCUGAGGAAAUCCAGGAAUUUGUCAGUGAUACAGCCUUCAAAAUUGAGCUCCUUCAAAUAGAAAAUAUGGUUUUAAGCCCAUGGAUAUUAGUGGCUGUUGUGCUGCUCCAAAAUUUACCAGCCAUUGAUUUUGAGCAUCUGGUGGAAAAGACAGUUUGGCUCAAAGGUUUAACUCAAGCAUUUGGAGGAUUCCUUGAUUGGCCUGAUAAUCUGUGUGCCCACAAAGCAGUAAGAUCUGCCUUGGCUCUCCACUCCAAUGUUGCAAGUAUUGUUAAUGGUCAAGUGGUACUCAGUGACCAAGGAAUGGAAUCCAGUGUACCAGAGGAACCUGUAUUUAAAAAAGCUCUCUCUAUUCUCCUGUGUGGGUGCUACAGGAACCAGUUGCUGAAUGUCUUUGUGCGGCCAGCCUUUGUUGCACUUGCAUUGCAAAUGACACACUCUUCCAGAAAAGAGGAAGUUUAUAGCAAUUUUACUUUCUGGCGUGAUGUUUUUUCUGAUGAGUUUAUCUUCUUUCCUGGAAUACCCCUGAAGGAUUUUGAAGAAGGUUGUUUUUUGCUUACAAAAUGUGGCACAGUUCAAGUUACUCCUCAGCAAAUCUUUGUUACUGAGAAAGGAAUGGCUGUCAUCUCAUUCCUGUUGGCCAUGUUCAGACCUUUUGUGGAAGGCUACCAGCUAAUCUGCAAGUAUCUUUCUAAGGAAGCAAAUGAGGCCUUUACUGAGAAACAAUUUGUGUCUGGCACCCGAAACUUUGUUUCUCAGCUUCUUGAGACAGGAAGCACUCAAUGUUAUGAGGUCCUAUCUUCAGAUAUGCAGAAAAAUGCUUUAGCAGCUCUUGUGCGACUAGGUGUUGUGUCAAGAUUAAAAAUGAAUGGUGGAUUCACUUACAGUGUAAUUAAAGAGGCUCUGAGCAAAACUUCAGGAAUGUUUGGACACAGUUUAUGCAGACCAUUGUCAUGAAGUGUUUCUCUUCUGAUCUGACCACGGGGGCUUGUGCAUGCGGAGCCCUUUCGAGAAGGUUGGAAUCUGCCAGAACCAAUGAGUGCAGCACAUAAUAUGAAGUAGAGAGAAUCUAGGAUAUCUGUAAGGAAACCAGUGGCUGCAAGACUUUAAGUGGAGGCGUCUUGAGUGGCUUCCCUUCUGAAUGCUGCAGUUUGGAUAACUGAUAGAAAUCAGUCAGGUGAUGGACAGGUUAUUGAAGACCACAGUACAAGCUUUCCACUGAGAAUGGUUACCACUACACAGUGGCAGAGAAGAACUCUUGGGGUCAGAAUACUUUCAUUUCCACUUGAACUUUAGUAGCAUUGAUGCUUAGGAUUGUUUGUAUACUCAUUUUCUCUUUAAUAAACAGCAUUUGUCUCAGCCACAGUUAAUACCUGACAGAAUUACACAGUAACAUUGGAAAUGUUUGUCAUGAUAAGGAGAUGGUGAUUUUUGUAUUAUUAUUGUGUUUGUGUGUGGAAAAAGCAUUACUGAGAAAACUAAGUAUGUAACAUUAAAAGCAAUAUUUAAAGGAAAA